rnacentral:misc_RNA from 1 species
UUUCCGUAGGUGAACCUGCGGAAGGAUCAUUAUUGAAUAAACAGUGUGGGUUGUUGCUGGCCUCCUGGCAUGUGCACGCCUGCCAUAUGUUUCACUCCCUUCUUUCCACCUGUGCACUAUGUGUAGGCUAUGUAUGCUGUAUUGUCAGGCCCUUCAUAAGGCUUGGUUUAGAGAGGAUGCUUGUCUUUAUGAGACAGGCUCAUCUUGGGCGUACAGGUCUAUGUUUUACACCAACACCAAAUGAAUGUCUUAGAAUGUAUUUUUUCAGGCUCUUGCUAGCCUUUAAACCAUAUACAACUUUCAACAACGGAUCUCUUGGCUCUG